ACUAGCAUAUCAAUAAGCGGAGGAAAAGAAACCAACAGGGAUUGCCUUAGUAACGGCGAGUGAAGCGGCAAAAGCUCAAAUUUGAAAUCUGGCACCUCUGGUGUCCGAGUUGUACUUUGGAGAGGCAUCUUCUGGAGGGGCCCAGCCUAUGUGCCUUGGAACAGGACGUCAUAGAGGGUGAGAAUCCCGUCCUUGGCUGGAUGUUCCCCUCCUGUAUGUAGUGUCUUCUACGAGUCGAGUUGUUUGGGAAUGCAGCUCAAAAUGGGUGGUAAAUUUCAUCUAAAGCUAAAUAUUGGCGAGAGACCGAUAGCGCACAAGUAGAGUGAUCGAAAGAUGAAAAGCACUUUGAAAAUAGAGUCAAACAGUACGUGAAAUUGUUGAAAGGGAAGCGCUUGAGACCAGAGUCAGCCUUUGGCAAACAACUGUCCCUUCUGGGUGGUGCACUUGUCAUCGGUUGGGCCAGCAUCGGUUGGGACGGCAGGAUAAAGGCCCGGGGAAUGUGACUCCUCUAUGGAGUGUUAUAGCCUCAGGCGGCAUGCUGUCAGUCCCGACUGUGGACCGCGCCUCGGCUCGGAUGCUGGCUUAAUGGCCUUCAGCGACCCGUCUUGAAACACGGACCAAGGAGUCUAACGUCUAUGCAAGUGUUUGGGCUCCAAACCCUCACGCGUAAUGAAAGUAAACGGAGGUGGGAACUCUGAAAGGGGCGCACCAUCGACCGAUCCUGAUGUAUUCGGAUGGAUUUGAGUAGGAGCAUAGCUGUUGGGACCCGAAAGAUGGUGAACUAUGCCUGAAUAGGGUGAAGCCAGAGGAAACUCUGGUGGAGGCUCGCAGCGGUUCUGACGUGCAAAUCGAUCGUCAAAUUUGGGUAUAGGGGCGAAAGACUAAUCGAACCAUCUAGUAGCUGGUUCCCUGCCGAGUUU
rnacentral:rRNA from 1 species